ACCAAGGCAGCAUGGACCCGAGAGCAAGACUGGUGGUCAAUGGUAAAAUCGCACAGAUCAGGAUUCCUCCCAAAGAGAUAGUAUUUCUUCUCAUCAAUGAUGAGUUUCUCAAUGAGUUUGUCUCCUUUGACUACAUCCAAAUGUAAGCCAGGUGGAGGUUUUCCUGCCCAGCUGGGGCACUCGAAGAGCGAGAGGCCGCCGCCGCCUCCGGCCGAGUUCGCGUUCGCCGCCAUCUUGCAUCUGCCCCAUUCAGGCGGGCCGGGGGC
rnacentral:lncRNA from 1 species